ensembl:lncRNA
CCCGGGGUUUAUGGGAGAAAUACGCAUCGCUUUCAGGGCAAAAAGCUUAUUUUGGAUUUUAAAAUAUACGGUUUGUUUUCUAACCUACAUGUAGAGUUGGACGUUUAUUUUAUUUUAGGAGGUAACUUGUAAAUGGAUGCAUUAUUAUUAUUAUUAUUAUUAUUAUUAUUUUGCUCCAAGGUAAAUCUGUAACUUAAGUAAAAUUCAGUCGAAGCGAACGUGUGUUUGUGUUGAUUUUGCAAAUGGUCCUAACAUCUCUGUCUGUGUGAUUUGAGGAUGUUUUAAGUAAGCAAGCAAGCAAACAAACUGGAACACCGUUUAUUUCUGCCUUUAAAAGCGUGGCAGGUGAAGAUCGACCCACUCGCAUGCUUUGCGUGUUCGAGGUGAAUUUCUGCACGUGAUUUUUUUUGGCGAAAAAAGCCACCAUGACCGUGAUCCGUUGAGUUAAGGGGGGUGGAUCCAGCAAUAUGGAGGAGCAGAAGUGAAUAAAUGCGUGCAAGAUCUUCCCGAAGAGCUUGUAAAGGGGUCGCUUUCCCUCGUAGUCCCAUUGAGAUCCUGUUGCAACGUCGCGAUCUUACAAGGAAAAAAAACAAAAACAACAGUACAAGGUGUGUCAGGAAGUGGUUGCGCCGCAUGCAUCUAAAGAAAAAGAAAGAAAAUGCUAUACAUGUGGGGAAAUAGCCUAUGUUAAACUGUGUUAAUCUCUUCAUCAGUUUAGAGUUUCAGUCACUGGGCUCCAUUGUGGGAGAGAAGGACGCGUCAGGCAGUUAUAAAUUUGUGCUUAUAGAGGCUUGCAGAGGCAGCAGGCUCUAUUCGGGCAGAUUUACUCCGUGCACUAAACUGAUCUCCAUUAUAGUGGGAGCUGCAGACAGAACCCAGAUCAUCUUUUAACUGGCGAUUAGAAGAGAGUGACCAUGCAAAGGUUUUUUUUUUCCCCUUGAAGGUUGAUUGUAAAGCCAAGAACGUAAACUAAUAACUUCUUUCCUAAACAGUUAGGAUUUUCGACUCUGAAGGUGAUACACGAAAGCGGGGAAACUUCAGAAGUCUUUUCAUUAACAAAGGCCUGAAUGUACGGAACUGGCUGCUUGUUUUCUUCUUCUUUUUUUUUUUUUGCCCCACUCUGCGUAAAUCAAUAGCCAGUCCCCGUUCAGAAUAGAUUUGUUGUCCGGAUUGGCGUUUUUAUAGGCUUCCUUCAGCAUUUUGGACGUUUUCUGGACAUUUCGAAGCAAGGUCAGUUUUGGUUGUUGUUUUGGUUCACAAGGUGGGAGCAAUAUAGCUGUAGCACGAAACACUUGUUCUAAGGUGGUAUGAAUAACAUUAAUAAUAAUAAUAAUAAUAAUAGUAAUAAAAUAAUAAUAAUAAACAACAGUGGCCUUUUAGGAGCAUAGCACGGUAAACGAAUUCUAAUACAUUUCUAAUAAAAACCCGUUGUUAACAUUUUCACAAUUUCACAACCCGAUGCCAGCAAGUGUUUUCAUAUUAGGCCUCCAAAGCCUGAAGUACCUGAUUGACAACGGCAUGCAAAACGUUGAAUGCACACUUUUGAACAGCAGGCUAUUUAGCUUGUAGGAAUUUCGACUAUUAAAAUGAAUGGAUUUCAAGGCUUUACAACGCAUAAUGCAAAGCGCCAUGCUGUAUGGCAAAAUGUUCAUUGCUUUUGGUAUUUUAUAUGAAUUUUUGCGUCGCUGAACGUUAUUGAACAUUUCAAAGGCGGAUAAAAAAAGAAGUCAGAGAAGGCCUUUCCUGUGUCAAUGGGUUUUACUGCAAAUUUUGCGUUCAUCUAGCCAACAUAAAGUGGUAUAUUAUUAAAUCGUAUAUAAUUCGAAUCUAUGGUAACACAAAACAGACCUAAUCAAAGAAGGCAUUACCUAAAAAGUCGAAACCGUGAAAAAUGCAAAAGGGAGUACGGUUUUUCAAUUUAAAUAGAAUCAAUCUUCUAGAAAAACGAAGUUUUAUAGUAAAUGCACCAUCCGUUAUACGCUGUUUUCUUUGCGUGAAUGUUUAAAACUACUGGACCUUUCUUAAAUCUUAAACUGAGUAAGCGAUAGUAAUGAAGGCUUAUUUUAAACCAUCUGGCUUGGAGCCUAAUAAAUCGCUUUGCGGAAGAAAAAAAACCAAAGGACCUUAGGACCGAGUCGUGUCUCGGUUUUAACCCAAUUUCCCUCCUUAUCAACCAAUUACCAUACAUUUUCAGCAAGCAUUUAUCACACAUAUUCUGCAUUUCUUAUAAUAGGCCCUACCUUGAUAUAUGAGGCUAGAUAAGUUGUCUCAUCUGCACUCUUGAAACAACCUAUUUGACUUGGUUUGUCUUUCAUGCCAGGUUUUCUGGAUGAUUCCUUCAUCACGUGACAGUAAUGAAAAGAAGAUAAUGAAGGUCUUCUUUAAUCAAACCAACAGAGACCCAUAUGUCCAGUGUAUUCUGUUACACUUCUUUACCCCCGUUUAGUUUGACUUUUAGCUUUUUCAAUAAAACAGGUCGUAAUGAGGGAGGUUUGUGUCAUUUAUGGGAGUGAGCCCAUACUUGCCUUAAUUGGACACAGAUGGGUUUUCCUAUUGAUAACCUCGCAGUGGUACCGGACUAAACACGGCGGAAACGCGAUUCCCUCGAAAUUAUAGACAGCGAUUGGACUGAUUGGACUUAGUGCCCUCCCUCGUGGGCACGUAUGUUUAUUCAAUUAAGUCAAGUGGUGUAAUAUAGCAGCGCCACACAGCAUCGAUGCCCAGGUUUCCACUUUGAAUUUAGAAAUUUUAACUAACACUUUCAUGUGAUACAUGUUCUAUAGUAUGGCUUUUUCUUCGUUGACUGCAUCAUCGACUGCAGACUGCGAUAUCCAGACUAGACAAUUAGGCUAUAAGACGACUGUUACAAAGUUAUGCACAGUUUGUACAAUCCUAGUUUAACAACGCCAAAGAAAAGUGCAGCCUAUAUGUUAUAUGCAUCCGUUUUGGCCUAAGCCACGUUUGGGAAAGUAGGUGGCGGCUGAAAUAAAUGUGUACACCCUGACAGUGCUGUCACUGGUGGGGUGAAGGGUGGCGACGACUGUAAAGGCCCACGGCACAGCUUUGCUUUAUUUUAUUAAAACGGGGGGCCCCAGAAUUCCCAACAACGCCCCUGACCGCGUCCACGCCACAGUUUCUCAGCGCUGAGAAAUGUUGUGACAAUCACCUAACAUGCCAAGUAUCUUCUAUCCCGACCACACGAUCACGAAUGUUGAUUUUACAUAUAGCACUGGUCUGGAGCGCUGUGCACGGAUGAAUAGCACGGGGUUAAAACAAGUGGUAAGAGCAAUGAAAAUAACCCGGUAGGUAGAUUGCCUGUGCUACUUUAGGGAGAGGUCACAGGGUCAUAAAAUUGUCUAACAGUCUUACUGGAGCACAUUUUGCCCGUCAUUGUAUGUAUGAUACAGGGUUAAAAAUGGCGUGCGUGUUGGUUAGAAAGUAAAUAAUUUUUUGUACCAUUUUGCUGAUGUUUUAAAAUAUUAAGUCGACGUGUAUUGUAGCCUACAUUAAAUUGUAAUGAAAAUACAACAACAACAACAAUCAUAAUAAUAAUGAUGAUAACAAUAAAUAAUAGUAAUAAUAAUGUAGGCGACUUGUUUCUUGGAAUCCACUGUCAUUGGUGUUAGAUCAGAAUAAAUGAACAUGUAAAGUAAUAUAAAUGCUCAUUAUCACUCUUUAUUAUAAUGCUCUUUACUUUGCACAACAAUUCAUCAAACAUAUGGCUCAUAUCAAGCCCUCUAAUGGACAUGUAUGCGCAUGCAAGCAGCAUCAGAUCAGACACGGAAUUGGAGCGUCCUGCUUGAAAUAUUCUCGCCAACAGCGGAGCGGGGAGAACACGGCCUGCUUCAAACCGGUUUAAAACUGCGGCCUAGAACAAUAACGGGGUCUUGCUGCAGCAGUCUUGGCCCGCGCUGGUGACAAACGGCCCGUUCCGGUAGUUUGAAUGUGGCCGGGAGAUGGAGGGAAAGUGUCAAUCAGAGACGCUCCACCGAUCGUGGACAAUGCUCUUCGUGGGACUGGUCUGUUUCAAGAGCAAUCAGUCACUCCGCAUUAAUUAUCCCCGCGUCCCACAGCAGGGUAGCUCGCGCUGGCACUGUGAAUUCUCUCUCUCUCUCUCUCUCUCUCUCUCUCUCUCUCUCUCUCUCUCUCUCUCUCUCUGUCUCUGUCUCUCUCUUUCUGUCUCUCUCUCUCGCUCUGUCUCUCUCUGUGUGUGUUGCAUGGUAUCGCAGGCCAGCGCUAUGCUAUAGUACACCACUAAACACGAACCCCACACCCACCUUUCAGGUUGCGAAAAGAAACCAAUAAAGUGGAGUAAGUGGAGCUUCCGUGUCCUAAAUAUAUUUAAUGUAGAUGUAUGUUUAAAGAGGUGCAUCUUCAUAAGUUGCAGAACAGAUUUUUUAUUGUUUCAUUGCCAUUACAAUUUUUAAAAGACAUUUUAAUAAUCAUGAUUUUUCCCCAAACAUUUAAGUCACGAUCAUAAAUUGAAGUGAUCUUUUCACUGGUAUGAACUCUUCCACGUAUGCUUGCAUACCCUGCAGAAGCUGGCCCGAAUUUAGUUACAUAUCCAUUCUGUGUUUCAUUUAUUCGCCGUGGGGAAAUUUUGUAGCCAUUUGUAGCCAUCGGUCUAACGUUUAACACUAGACACGUUUAACGUUUAAAAUGGUUCUACAAGUUUGCUGGGUUACAGUGAGCGCCAAGGCCUAUAGGCUUUGUGGAUGUGUUCAGAUCCACAGCACAAAAACACACUGCUGUUGUAGCGAACGAUGGAAACAGCAAAGACUUCAUAUUGAUUGAUUGAUUGAUUGAUUGACUGAUUGAUGUUUAUUGUCAUUGCAUAGCUCUUCAUACAACGAAAUUUGUAGUCGAUGCUGAUAUAAUCAUAGCAAAA